rnacentral:rRNA from 1 species
UACGAAGGGAGCUAGCGUUGUUCGGAAUCACUGGGCGUAAAGCGCACGUAGGCGGAUGUGUCAGUCAGGGGUGAAAUCCCGGAGCUCAACUUCGGAACUGCCUUUGAUACAGCACGUCUUGAGUCCGGAAGAGGUGGGUGGAAUUCCUAGUGUAGAGGUGAAAUUCGUAGAUAUCAGGAAGAACACCUAUGGCGAAGGCAGCACUCUGGGACGGUACUGACGCUGAGACGCGAAAGCGUGGGGAGCGAACAGG